rnacentral:rRNA from 1 species
UACAGAGGGGGCAAGCGUUGUUCGGAAUUACUGGGCGUAAAGCGUGUGUAGGUGGCUUGACAAGUCGGUUGUGAAAUCCCCGGGCUCAACCUGGGAAUUGCUUCCGAGACUGUCAGGCUAGAGAUCGGUAGAGGGCGGUGGAAUUUCCGGUGUAGCGGUGAAAUGCGUAGAUAUCGGAAGGAACACCAAUGGCGAAGGCAGCCGCCUGGGCCUGAUCUGACACUGAGACACGAAAGCGUGGGGAUCAAACAGG